rnacentral:rRNA from 1 species
UACGUAGGGUGCAAGCGUUGUCCGGAUUUAUUGGGCGUAAAGAGCUCGUAGGCGGCUUGGCAAGUCAGGUGUGAAAACUUCAAGGCUCAACCUGGACGAUGCCACCUUGAGACUGCUAAUGGCUAGAGUCGUGGUAGGGAGCACGGAAGUUCCUGGAUGUAGCGGUGAAAUGACGCAGAUAGUCGGGAGGAACGACCGGUGGCGAAGGCGGGUCUCUGGGCAGUAACUGGACGCUGA